AUCUCAAUUCUCAAACAAGGAAAUGUAAGCUUAAAACAACCAGAGGGCUUCCUGAAAUCAAGCUAAAACUGGACAAGUAGACAAAAAACGGCCCUGGAAUUAAGCUAAGUCUCACAAAAAGUGGGCAUAAACUUUCUUCUGUAUCAUCAUGUCCUUCAACUUUUCUGCCUUAACUGGCACCCUCUACUAAUUUUCUUCCACCUCUUCCCCAAUAAUGCGCCCUGUAAUCUUACUCAGAACAACAUUCAAACACGAUGUCUAAUUAGUCACAAUCCACAGGUGCCACUCUUUUUGCAAAACGAAAAAAGCACAUGAAUACCAUCAUUUUCAUAGACGCAAGCAGGAAAAAUGUGAAUCAACAGUUUGGCACAGUGAAGAGAGGAAUUUACAAGAGGCCAGUAGAGUUGAAAGGUCUAUAUAUAUGUGUAUAUAUAUUUUUAUAUACUUGUAUAGAUAUACACCCAGGAUCACUUUGGGAAAACUGUGGGUGCUUGCCAUCAUCACCUCUCGGGCAAGUCUGGUGCCUGCCAUCAUCACCUUACUGGGCUGUGUCCCGUGCUCACAGCCCCACACAUGCAUGAUUAUUGUGGCAGUUGCGGGGCAAUAGAAGGGAAUGAGUAUGGAGAAGCUCAACUCCGAGCUGUACUUGCAGAACUGCUACAUAAUCCAAGAAAAUGAGAGGCUAAGAAAGAAAGCUCAGCAGCUCAACCAGGAAAAUCAGGCUCUGCUGGCAGAGAUGAAGGAGAAACUCCCCAAGACAAGCUCCAGUUCGAACCCAAAUCGAGAUCCCAGCCAUGGCUCAAGUUCCACUUCCACCUCAAAUCCUAGUCGAUCAAGCAAACCCUGAUCAUAUGAACACAAUGGCAUCACUAAGGUCCCCACCCUCCCUUGUACAAAACCAUAUGGGCAGAGUAUCAGUGGCAUCUUUUCUUCGCAAUACUUAUUACGAAACCAAAUAUGCAUCUCUUAAAAAAAUUUAUUCGUGGGGGCAAAAUAAAGUUUUUGACCUUUGGAAGAUGAAUUGAAUAUGAUGUUCUAGCUUAUUCA